AAAAAAUCAUGGACUGUCUUUAAUGUGCACAAUAAUUUGGACACAGCACGGUCUUUAUUUUGCUCUCCAGCUCGGAACGAUCGGCGGUGUAGGGGGUGGGUGUGAUGUCUGACUGAGAUUGUACCACUUCUGCCCCCUGCUGUACCACCAUGUGGGAGCUGAACAGGCCGGUAGGUGGGCUGAUUUUAACAGACAGGAUCCACCGCUGCUGAGACCCGGGUUCGAAUCUCUGCUGUGCUAUCAGCCCGCCAGCCGUCUACACAGACAUGACUGUCCAAGUUUAAAGGCAGAUGAAUGGCCGAAGCCCUGCGAUGGAUUGGUGCCCCGUCUAGCGUGUUCCUGCCUCUCGCGCCGUGUCACCCGGUGAACCUGCACCCACCGCGACCCUGACCGAACGCAGUCUAAAACAUUUUAAAAUAAAGGCGAAUGACAGAA